rnacentral:rRNA from 1 species
GACGAACGCUGGCGGCGUGCCUAAUACAUGCAAGUCGAGCGAAUCAAUAGGAGCUUGCUCCUGUUGAUUAGCGGCGGACGGGUGAGUAACACGUGGGCAACCUGCCUGUAAGAUCGGGAUAACUUCGGGAAACCGGAGCUAAUACCGGAUAAUCCUUUCCUACACAUGUAGGAAAGCUGAAAGACGGUUUCGGCUGUCACUUACAGAUGGGCCCGCGGCGCAGUAGCGUAGUUGGUGAGGUAACGGCUCACCAAGGCGACGAGGCGUAGCCGACCGGAGGGGGUGAUCGGCGACACUGGGACUGGGAACCGGCCCAGACUCCUACGGGAGGCAGCAGUAGGGAAUCUUCCGCAAUGGACGAAAGUCUGACGGAGCAACGCCGCGUGAGCGAUGAAGGCCUUCGGGUCGUAAAGCUCUGUUGUUAGGGAAGAACAAGUAUCGGAGUAACUGCCGGUACCUUGACGGUACCUAACCAGAAAGCCACGGCUAACUACGUGCCAGCCGCCGCCGUAACAC